ACGCUCGACACCUACGGGAGGCAGCAGUUAGGAAUAUUGGGCAAUGGAGGAAACUCUGACCCAGCAACGCCGCGUGAAGGAAGAAGGUUUUCGGAUUGUAAACUUCUGAUCUAGGGGAAGAAGGAAGUGACGGUACCCUAGGAGAAAGCCACGGCUAACUACGUGUCAGCAGCCGCGGUAAUCUGAGCGGGCUGGCAAGGC
rnacentral:rRNA from 1 species